rnacentral:rRNA from 1 species
UAGGGAAUCUUCGGCAAUGGACGAAAGUCUGACCGAGCAACGCCGCGUGAGUGAAGAAGGUUUUCGGAUCGUAAAACUCUGUUGUUAGAGAAGAACAAGGACGUUAGUAACUGAACGUCCCCUGACGGUAUCUAACCAGAAAGCCACGGCUAACUACGUGCCAGCAGCCGCGGUAAUACGUAGGUGGCAAGCGUUGUCCGGAUUUAUUGGGCGUAAAGCGAGCGCAGGCGGUUUCUUAAGUCUGAUGUGAAAGCCCCCGGCUCAACCGGGGAGAGUCAUUGGAAACUGGGAGAAUUGAGUGCAGAAGAGGAGAGUGGAAUUCCAUGUGUAGCGGUGAAAUGCGUAGAUAUAUGGAGGAAAACCAGUGGCGAAGGCGGCUCUCUGGUCUGUAACUGACGCUGAGGCUCGAAAGCGUGGGGAGCAAACAGG